AAUAAUUACUAAUGGCCCACAAAAUUAAAGUCCCACUUAUUAGUAUUUUGAAGUGAGAAGAAAGGAUGCUUCCCUUUAAAGGAACAACCAACUCCUCCCCCACGUCAGUGAAAAUGAUGUGAGAUAGAUCUAUCAUGCAUUUAGGCUAAUUUACCCUCAUAAAAUAUGUUAUCUUACCUCCUUAAAAUUAUGUCAUUUCUAUAAUUUUUUUUAUGCAACUUCUUAAAAAUCUAUUGUCUUCUGUUCUCUUAAACCCACAUAUAUUUAUAUUUUCUUUGAAUUUUUCACUUUUGAAAUUUUCUUUAUCAACUCAUUGCUCAACCUAAAAGUCACAAUUUCUUUCAUUUUCACUCAUGGGGUCUUCAAACAAGACCCAAUAUGAGGUGUGAAAAGCAACCCCAUUAUGUUUGCCUCAUAUUUCAUGGUAGAUAAAACAAGCACUCUUUUGGUGAUUUUCACUCUAGGUUUUCUUAAAAAAUAAUUAAACCAGAGAGCAAAUAAAGCAUCAGAGCCAGAUUUUUUCCUUGCAAUGGGAGAAUAAAAAUCUGAAGGUGAGUUUUGCAGAAAAAUCACAUCUCGGAUUAAUACACAUGUCUAUCAUGCCAUAGAGAAGGAAACGUCUCAUUCUCAAUCUCAG
rnacentral:misc_RNA from 1 species